UAGGACUCUCGGCAAUGGAUAUCUUGGCUCUUGCAUCGAUGAAGAGCGCAGCGAAAUGUGAUACGUGGUGUGAAUUGCAGGAUCCCGUGAACCAUCGAGUUUUCGAACGCAAGUUGCGCCUGAUGUUGAUUGGCUGAGGGCACGUCCGCCUGGGCGUCAUGC
rnacentral:rRNA from 1 species